AUUGGGUAGGGGAGCGUUCUGUAAGCCGUUGAAGGUGAAUCGUAAGGUUUGCUGGAGGUAUCAGAAGUGCGAAUGCUGACAUGAGUAACGACAAAGGGGGUGAAAAACCUCCUCGCCGGAAGACCAAGGGUUCCUGUCCAACGUUAAUCGGGGCAGGGUGAGUCGACCCCUAAGGUGAGGCCGAAAGGCGUAAUCGAUGGGAAACGGGUUAAUAUUCCCGUACUUCUGACUAUUGCGAUGGGGGGACGGAGAAGGCUAGGUGGGCCAGGCGACGGUUGUCCUGGUUCAAGUGCGUAGGCUUGAGAGUUAGGUAAAUCCGGCUCUCUCUAAGGCUGAGACACGACGUCGAGCUACUACGGUAGUGAAGUCAUUGAUGCCAUGCUUCCAGGAAAAGCCUCUAAGCUUCAGAUAGUCAGGAAUCGUACCCCAAACCGACACAGGUGGUCGGGUAGAGAAUACCAAGGCGCUUGAGAGAACUCGGGUGAAGGAACUAGGCAAAAUGGUACCGUAACUUCGGGAGAAGGUACGCUCUUGAUGGUGAAGUCCCUCGCGGAUGGAGCUGACGAGAGUCGCAGAUACCAGGUGGCUGCAACUGUUUAUUAAAAACACAGCACUGUGCAAAAUCGCAAGAUGACGUAUACGGUGUGACGCCUGCCCGGUGCCGGAAGGUUAAUUGAUGGGGUUAGCGCAAGCGAAGCUCUUGAUCGAAGCCCCGGUAAACGGCGGCCGUAACUAUAACGGUCCUAAGGUAGCGAAAUUCCUUGUCGGGUAAGUUCCGACCUGCACGAAUGGCGUAAUGAUGGCCACGCUGUCUCCACCCGAGACUCAGUGAAAUUGAAAUCGCUGUGAAGAUGCAGUGUACCCGCGGCUAGACGGAAAGACCCCGUGAACCUUUACUACAGCUUGGCACUGAACAUUGAACCUACAUGUGUAGGAUAGGUGGGAGGCUAUGAAGACGUGACGCCAGUUGCGUUGGAGCCGUCCUUGAAAUACCACCCUUGUAUGUUUGAUGUUCUAACUUAGACCCGUUAUCCGGGUUGAGGACAGUGCCUGGUGGGUAGUUUGACUGGGGCGGUCUCCUCCCAAAGAGUAACGGAGGAGCACGAAGGUGGGCUAAUCACGGUUGGACAUCGUGAGGUUAGUGCAAUGGCAUAAGCCCGCUUAACUGCGAGAAUGACGGUUCGAGCAGGUGCGAAAGCAGGUCAUAGUGAUCCGGUGGUUCUGUAUGGAAGGGCCAUCGCUCAACGGAUAAAAGGUACUCCGGGGAUAACAGGCUGAUACCGCCCAAGAGUUCAUAUCGACGGCGGUGUUUGGCACCUCGAUGUCGGCUCAUCACAUCCUGGGGCUGAAGUCGGUCCCAAGGGUAUGGCUGUUCGCCAUUUAAAGUGGUACGCGAGCUGGGUUUAGAACGUCGUGAGACAGUUCGGUCCCUAUCUGCCGUGGGCGUUGGAAGAUUGAAGGGGGCUGCUCCUAGUACGAGAGGACCGGAGUGGACGAACCUCUGGUGUUCGGGUUGUGUCGCCAGACGCAUUGCCCGGUAGCUAAGUUCGGAAUUGAUAAGCGCUGAAAGCAUCUAAGCGCGAAGCGAGCCCUGAGAUGAGUCUUCCCUGACAGUUUAACUGUCCUAAAGGGUUGUUCGAGACUAGAACGUUGAUAGGCAGGGUGUGUAAGCGUUGUGAGGCGUUGAGCUAACCUGUACUAAUUGCCCGUGAGGCUUAACCAUACAACACCCAAGGGGUUUUGUA
rnacentral:rRNA from 1 species